rnacentral:lncRNA from 1 species
UUUUUUGUGCUUGGUUGGCUGCUGUGCUAAUGAAUUCAGGAAUGAAUAAACUCUUGGGGUCCAGAUUGCAGCUGAAAUAAACUCUCUAUGAUUUUUGGUGCAUAAAGGAAGGAGGGGGAAUCGUAGUUGGUGAUUUUCAGGCUACUAUGAAGCCCUCAAUUUAUAGGCAGAUUAGGCCGCAAAACUUGAAAACUAUUUACAGCA